rnacentral:rRNA from 1 species
AUUGAACGCUGGCGGCAGGCCUAACACAUGCAAGUCGAACGAGUGGAGGACGGGAGAGUAAUGUCUGGGACACUGCCUGAUGGAGGGGGAAAACUACUGGAAACGGUAGCUAAUACCGAAUACCAUCGGAGGUGCGCAUAUGGGAUUAGAUAGUAGGUGGGGUAACGGCGCCCCUAGGCGACGAUGCCUAGCUGGUCUGAGAGGAUGAGCAGCCACACGGGAACAGCGACACGGUCCAAACUCCUACGGGAGGCAGCGGUGGGGAAGAGUGCACAAUGGGCGAAAGGCCGAUGCAGCCAUGCCGCGUGUAUGAAUAAGGCCUUCGGGUUGUAAAGUACUUUCAGCGGGGAGGCGUUACCCGGAGAAGAAGCACCGGCUAACUCCGUGCCAGCAGCCGCGGUAAUUC